rnacentral:lncRNA from 1 species
AAGCCAAAUACAACACUUAUUCCAAGCUCGAAUUUAGAACCUUGAACAAGAGAUUCUGGGUUCUUGUCCCAAGCAGAGUCCUCAGAGCUGUCACACCUCCUUUUUCCUACACCUUGAAAGGUAUAUGGCAGUUUUUCCAAUUUAAGUGACAAUCGAAAUAGAAUAAUUUCAUUUAAAAUUAAGAGUCGCCACUUGGGAUAAUUUAUAUUUUCCCAAGUUACCGGUUCAAAUUCCGAAUCAAGGAAAAGAUUCACUCUGUAUUACAGUCCGCAAACAGAAAAAUCUGGGUAAGGAAUUUUGUCAAGCCGAGAGAAGGUGUAAGAGCAUUCUCGAAUUCCGUGGCUCUAGUACGGUCUCUCAACUGUUAUAAUUGACCUAUUAUCUUAUUUUUAUACAUGUUUUAGCCUAUGGUUGGAUUUUAAACUUUAUAUCCACUUUUAAUUAUUUUUAGAAAGAUUGCAACAUCAUUUAAAAUAUGUCAUGAACCACGUCACAAAAUGCACCCACGGUCCGCAACAUAUUUUAUCUGACAUUGUUGAGAUUUGAACUUGGGUCACAUAAAUGUGCACCUAAGCUUAGGAAUGUAAAUCAUUAAUAACACACCUAAAACAACUACGCAUUAGAUACUUUACAAGGGCUAUGAAAAUUCGCUAAUUAGCACUCCUCGAUUCCUAGGAAUACACAAGAUUAAUUAAACGAGGGCCAUGCAAUUUAUUUUUUUUGGCACGGCACACCUCAAAUUAUUCUAACCAAGUUUCAAGAUUAAUUCAUGAGGGCCAUAUAUUGUGACUUAUUUACUUUAUCUCCUCAAACUAACUAAAAGUGAUUACCCAUUAACUAAGGCCUAAUGAAAUCGUAACCAUUUUGUUUAUUAGGAAAAAUCUAAGUUAAUUUGAGUAAGCAAACAUCAACAGGCCAAAACAUAUGAUAUUCCAAUUUUUAUACAUCGCUUCAUAGCUAGUCCCAUAAAGAAAAUCCAGGCCUCAAUGAAAUCAACCUAUGCUAGGGUCGCAGAUCGAAUCAACACAGGCUCGGCCAGUGCUGAGUUAAGGCCAAUCUUCAACAAAACAGAUUCUUAUACCUAGGUGGAUCAUAACUUAAAAUAAACACACAAUUUAGAGCCUAAAUUAAUCAGUGCCAGCAACUAAGCAUAUUAACUAGAAACCUUAUUCAUUACUCAUCUUUACCAUAUUAACUCUCAAAAUCAUGUAUUUUUCUAAAAGACUCCACACUUGAAUCAAUAUGACGCAUUCUAACAAACAAAGUCUUCAAGAUUGAAACCCGACAUUAUCAAGCUUGACCAAAUUUUAAGGAGAUAAUGUUGCACUUAUUUAACUUGAUUUUACCUAUAUUUUUCAUCUUAGCCAUGUAUUGUUGAAUUAAAAAAAAUCAGAGCACUCAAACAAUUGCAUUCCCACUUCAUGAGGGCCAAACUCAAGUAAGGAAACAAAAGGACUGCUCAAAAGCUCAUGAAGCUUAAAUUCCAUGCUGACAUUACUUCACAACUUAAGGUUGAAGUACUAAUAAAUCAACAUGACAACAAAAAAUAACUAAACAUCAAUUACAGUUUUGAAAGAACACUCAGAAGAAAAUAAAACUGAAGACUAGACAUCAACUACACUUUUCAUAGCUAAACAGAUAGGAGAUAGCUCAUAUAGCAUCUACUUAGCCACAUAGGGCUCAAACAUAAGAGAAACGAGGCCAUAUAGAGGCUAGAAUCAACAAACUACUGGCCCCGAUUAAAAAUUAACUACAAAGAAACAUUGACCUAAGCUAUAAAACACCAUAAAUACAAAGUAAUAAGGCUAAACUCAUAACAGAAAGCACAAAAUAUGUUUUCAACUUUAGAAUUUCCAUUUUAUUCCUCAAAUUAAUCUUCACAUGAGAUAGAAUGCAGAAGUGUACCUGGAGAUUGCAAAGAGAAGAAAGAGAUGAGGAAGCAGUAAGCAACCGACAACCCAUUAAUCAACCCCAGGAGGAAUAGACCAAACCAAACACCAGCUUUUUUAGCUAAUAAAACAGUAAAAUUCCCUUAUAAAAAUCAACAGAAUAGUGAUCCCAUCAACAAAUUUAGACAAUCUUUUCUUAUACCAAGUUCAAUCUAUUGUCAACUCAAAGAAAAUAAGAAACUACUUAAGCAAUAGAGAACUUCUGAUUCAAAAUAAAGAAACCAAUGGAACAAUCCUUUUUAAGUUCAGCCCAUUUUGAUUUUCUAAAAUUUGAUCCCUCAAUCUUUUUUGGAAAUGAGACUUUACAGAGGGGGAAGUAGGGCAUCAAAAGAUGUUUCAGAAUUUUCUUUUCAAUCCCUGCCCAAUUUGUAUUUUUGCUUCAAGCACCUUAGCUCAAAACUCUAAAUUCAGGUUAGUCCCCCCCAGUCAGCUUCUAGCAAGCUUAUAUUUCUACUACCAAUAGAUUACCUAUCCUAGAAACCCUGAAUUACCCUUAAAGUUUAGGUUAUUUACCCUUGAGAUUACGGGUCAAAUUCAACCCAAAUCCCACACCUAACUUAUGGGUUGGACAACCAGAUUUGAGCCUUCCUCUUUAUGGGCUCCUGACCUCGGAGCCCAUAUCUUAAUUUGAAACAGUCAAACCCAAAAGCAAAUAGGCUAGCAGAGUUAUAAAAUCCUGCUACUACGAAUCCAGUGAAACUAAAAUUAAAAAAUUGAACAAAACCAAACCGUGACAACGAAUAGUCUAAUAAGAAAGGCAGUACUAUGACCCAAUCCUAUCAUGCGAGCAAGAAAAUGAUUUGAAAAUAAAAUUAAAAAAUAGAAAGAAAAGACAAGAAUAGAAAAUAGAUGAAGAGGUGAAUAAAACAAAAUGCAAAAACAAUGAAAAUACACAAAGUUAC